UACGUAGGGAGCAAGCGUUGUCCGGAAUCAUUGGGCGUAAAGCGCGCGUAGGCGGCCCCGUAAGUCCGCUGUGAAAGUCAAAGGCUCAACCUUUGAAAGCCGGUGGAUACUGUGGGGCUAGAGUCCGGAAGAGGCGAGUGGAAUUCCUGGUGUAGCGGUGGAAUGCGCAGAUAUCAGGAGGAACACCAAUAGCGAAGGCAGCUCGCUGGGACGGUACUGACGCUAAGGCGCAAAAGCGUGGGGAGCGAACGAGG
rnacentral:rRNA from 1 species